rnacentral:rRNA from 1 species
GAGUUUGAUCCUGGCUCAGACUGAACGCUGGCGGCAGGCUUAACACAUGCAAGUCGAACGGUAACAUGAGUGCUUGCACUUGAUGACGAGUGGCGGGCGGGUGAGUAAUGUAUGGGGAUCUGCCGAAUGGAGGGGGACAACAGUUGGAAACGACUGCUAAUACCGCAUAAAGUUGAGAGACCAAAGCAUGGGACCUUCGGGCCAUGCGCCAUUUGAUGAACCCAUAUGGGAUUAGCUAGUUGGUAGGGUAAUGGCUUACCAAGGCGACGAUCUCUAGCUGGUCUGAGAGGAUGACCAGCCACACUGGAACUGAGACACGGUCCAGACUCCUACGGGAGGCAGCAGUGGGGAAUAUUGCACAAUGGGGGAAACCCUGAUGCAGCCAUGCCGCGUGUAUGAAGAAGGCCUUCGGGUUGUAAAGUACUUUCGGUAAUGAGGAAGGUGUUGUAUCUAAUAGGUGCAUCAAUUGACGUUAAUUACAGAAGAAGCACCGGCUAACUCCGUGCCAGCAGCCGCGGUAAUACGGAGGGUGCGAGCGUUAAUCGGAAUGACUGGGCGUAAAGGGCAUGUAGGCGGAUAAUUAAGUUAGGUGUGAGAGCCCUGGGCUCAACCUAGGAAUUGCACUUAAAACUGGCUAACUAGAGUAUUGUAGAGGAAGGUAGAAUUCCACGUGUAGCGGUGAAAUGCGUAGAGAUGUGGAGGAAUACCGGUGGCGAAGGCGGCCUUCUGGACAGAUACUGACGCUGAGAUGCGAAAGCGUGGGGAGCAAACAGGAUUAGAUACCCUGGUAGUCCACGCUGUAAACGAUGUCGAUUUGGAGUUUGUUGCCUAGAGUGAUGGGCUCCGAAGCUAACGCGAUAAAUCGACCGCCUGGGGAGUACGGCCGCAAGGUUAAAACUCAAAUGAAUUGACGGGGGCCCGCACAAGCGGUGGAGCAUGUGGUUUAAUUCGAUGCAACGCGAAGAACCUUACCUGGUCUUGACAUCCACAGAAUCUUGCAGAGAUGCGAGAGUGCCUUCGGGAACUGUGAGACAGGUGCUGCAUGGCUGUCGUCAGCUCGUGUUGUGAAAUGUUGGGUUAAGUCCCGCAACGAGCGCAACCCUUAUCCUUUGUUGCCAGCGGUUUGGCCGGGAACUCAAAGGAGACUGCCGUUGAUAAAGCGGAGGAAGGUGGGGACGACGUCAAGUCAUCAUGGCCCUUACGACCAGGGCUACACACGUGCUACAAUGGCGUAUACAAAGGGAGGCGA